CAAUAGCGUAUAUUAAAGUUGUUGCAGUUAAAAAGCUCGUAGUUGGAUUUCUGGUUGAAGCGACCGGUCGGGCGUUGAUUCGUCUGCACUGGAGUCGGUUUUGGCCAUCCUCUAGGAAAGUGCGUCUGGUAUUAAGUUAUCGGGCGUAUGAUCCUGGUCUUUUACUGUGAAAAAAUUAGAGUGUUUAAAGCAGGCCUUCGCCUUGAAUACAUUAGCAUGGAAUAAUAAGAUAGGACUUUGGUCUAUUUUGUUGGUUUGCAGACCGAAGUAAUGAUUAAUAGGGAUAGUUGGGGGUAUUUAUAUUCCGAUGUCAGAGGUGAAAUUCUUAGAUUGUCGGAAGAUAAACUUAUGCGAAAGCAUUUACCAAGGAUGUUUUCAUUAA
rnacentral:rRNA from 1 species